CGUAGCUCACUGCGCAUGUGUGUUGCCAGGGGCAGCGCAAGUAGCCAAAGUGGCCCGCCGAGUAGAGCGCGUUGCUGAGGCGAGGAGGAGGGGCCGGGGGCGUGAGCGAAGCCGCGAUGAGAGCCGUGUUGACUUGGAGAGAUAAAGUUGAGCAGUGUAUAUAUGACCUCGCAUUUAAGCCUGAUGGAACUCAACUGAUUUUGGCUGCAGGAAACAAAUUGCUGGUUUAUGACACCUCUGAUGGCACCUUAGUUCAGCCCCUCAAGGGACACAAAGACACUGUAUACUGUGUGGCAUAUGCAAAGGAUGGUCAGCGCUUUGCUUCUGGAUCAGCUGACAAAAGUGUUAUUAUCUGGACAUCAAAACUAGAAGGCAUUCUGAAGUACACGCACAAUGAUUCUAUACAGUGUGUCUCCUACAAUCCUGUUACCCACCAGCUGGCUUCUUGUUCCUCCAAUGACUUUGGGUUGUGGUCUCCUGAACAAAAGUCCGUCUCCAAGCACAAAGCAAGCAGCAAGAUCACCUGCUGCAGCUGGACAAAUGAUGGUCAGUACUUGGCUCUGGGGAUGUUCAAUGGGAUUAUCAGCAUUCGGAACAAAAAUGGUGAGGAAAAAGUGAAGAUUGAGCGGCCAGGGGGCUCCCUUUCCCCAAUAUGGUCCAUCUCCUGGAACCCAUCAAGAGAGGAACAUAAUGACAUCAUGGCUGUAGCUGACUGGGGACAAAAACUUUCCUUCUACCAACUGAGUGGAAAACAGAUUGGGAAGGAUCGGUCACUGAAUUUUGACCCCUGCUGCCUCAGCUACUUCAGUAAAGGGGAGUACAUUUUGCUGGGGGGGUCAGACAAGCAAGUGUCCCUUUUCACCAAGGAUGGAGUGCGGCUUGGGACUGUUGGGGAGCAGAACUCUUGGGUGUGGACGUGUAAAGUGAAACCCGAAUCCAACUAUGUGGUGGUAGGCUGCCAGGAUGGCACCAUUUCCUUCUACCAGCUUAUUUUCAGCACUGUCCAUGGGCUCUAUAAGGACCGGUAUGCCUACAGGGAUAGCAUGACCGACGUCAUUGUGCAACACCUGAUCACUGAGCAGAAAGUUCGGAUUAAAUGCAAAGAGCUUGUCAAGAAAAUUGCCAUCUAUAAAAAUCGAUUAGCUAUCCAACUGCCAGAAAAAAUCCUUAUAUAUGAGUUAUAUUCAGAUGACUCGUCAGACAUGCAUUACCGGGUGAAGGAGAAGAUUGUCAAGAAGUUCGAAUGCAACCUCCUGGUGGUGUGCGCCGAUCACAUUAUCCUCUGCCAGGAGAAACGGCUGCAGUGCCUGUCCUUCAGUGGAGUGAAGGAGCGAGAGUGGCAGAUGGAGUCUCUCAUUCGUUACAUCAAGGUGAUUGGUGGCCCUCCUGGAAGAGAAGGUCUGUUAGUGGGCCUGAAGAAUGGGCAGAUCCUGAAGAUCUUUGUGGAUAACCUCUUUGCUAUUGUCCUGCUGAAACAAGCCACAGCUGUGCGCUGCUUGGACAUGAGCGCCUCCCGAAACAAGCUGGCUGUGGUAGAUGAAAACGACACAUGCCUGGUGUAUGACAUCCAUACAAAGGAGCUGCUUUUUCAGGAACCAAAUGCCAACAGUGUGGCCUGGAACACCCAGUGUGAAGACAUGCUCUGCUUCUCAGGAGGAGGCUACCUCAACAUCAAAGCCAGCACCUUUCCUGUGCACCAGCAGAAGCUGCAGGGCUUCGUGGUCGGCUACAACGGCUCCAAGAUCUUCUGCCUCCACGUCUUCUCCAUGUCUGCCGUGGAGGUGCCACAGUCUGCUCCGAUGUACCAGUACCUGGAUAGGAAAAUGUUCAAAGAAGCCUACCAAAUUGCUUGCCUGGGUGUGACAGACACUGACUGGCGUGAGCUGGCCAUGGAAGCUCUAGAAGGAUUAGAGUUUGAAACAGCAAAGAAGGCCUUCACAAGAGUACAAGACCUUCGAUAUUUAGAGCUCAUCAACAGCAUUGAGGAGAGGAAGAAGCGGGGAGAAACCAACAAUGACCUGUUUCUGGCAGAUGUGUUUUCCUACCAGGGGAAGUUCCAUGAGGCCGCCAAACUGUACAAGAGGAGUGGUCACGAGAACCUUGCGCUCGACAUGUACACUGACCUCUGCAUGUUUGAGUAUGCCAAGGAUUUCCUUGGAUCUGGAGACCCCAAAGAAACAAAGAUGCUAAUCACCAAACAGGCUGACUGGGCCAGAAAUAUCAACGAGCCCAAAGCUGCUGUGGAAAUGUACAUCUCAGCAGGAGAGCACGUCAAGGCCAUCGAGAUCAGUGGCAACCAUGGCUGGGUUGACAUGUUGAUCGACAUUGCCCGCAGGCUGGACAAGGCUGAGCGGGAGCCUCUGCUGUUGUGUGCUAGCUACUUCAAGAAGCUGGAUAACCCUGGCUAUGCUGCCGAGACCUACCUAAAGAUGGGAGACCUGAAGUCCUUGGUGCAGCUGCACGUGGAGACUCAGCGCUGGGAUGAGGCCUUUGCUUUGGGUGAGAAGCAUCCUGAGUUUAAGGUUGAUAUCUACGUGCCCUAUGCUCAGUGGCUAGCAGAGAAUGAUCGCUUUGAGGAAGCCCAGAAAGCAUUCCACAAGGCCGGGCGGCAGGGAGAAGCAGUCAGGGUGUUGGAGCAGCUCACACACAACGCUGUGGUGGAGAGCAGGUUCAAUGACGCUGCCUAUUAUUACUGGAUGCUGUCCAUGCAGUGCCUUGAUAUAGCUCAAGAUCCUGGCCAGAAGGAUGUAAUGCUUGGCAAGUUCCACCACUUCCAGCACUUGGCUGAACUGUACCAUGGCUACCACGCCAUUCAGCGGUACACGGAGGAGCCGUUCAGUUUCCAUCUUCCUGAAACCCUUUUCAACAUCUCCAGGUUCCUGCUGCACAGCCUGACCAAGGAUACCCCCUUGGGCAUCUCUAAAGUGAAUACGCUUUUCACUCUGGCCAAGCAGAGCAGGGCCCUGGGUGCCUACAAGCUGGCCCGGCACGCCUACGACAAGCUGCAGGGCCUGCAGAUCCCUGCCAGGUUCCAGAAGUCCAUUGAGCUGGGCAGCCUGACCAUCCGCUCCAAGCCCUUCCACGACAGUGAGGAGCUGGUGCCCUUGUGCUACCGCUGCUCCACCAACAACCCGCUGCUCAACAAUCUGGGCAAUGUGUGCGUGAACUGCCGCCAGCCCUUUGUCUUCUCUGCCUCUUCUUACGAGGUGCUGCACCUGGUGGAGUUCUACCUGGAGGAGGGCAUCACUGACGAGGAGGCCGUCUCCCUCAUUGACCUGGAGGCACCAAGGCCCAAGCGGGAGAACAAAUGGCAAGAAAUCAGGAGCAGUGGUAUCCUGUGCCCUGGGCCUGGGGCGAAGGUGACAGGCAGAAGGGCCAGGCCUGGGGGGAUGACAGCCACUGCUGAGCCUUGUCCUGUGGCCCCAGAGAGAUUACAGAGGCCCACGUGGUGGCAGGGUGGGGGCCAGGGAUGGGCAGAGAGCUGGCCAGGGUCUGCAGACUCAGAAAAGGCAAGUGGUUUGUUGGUCUGCCCCGUGCCUUAUCCUGUGAGGGUCUUGCUACCUGCCCCGCCUCCUAAAAAGCGCUGGCCAUACAUAGCUUCUAAGUGGCCGACACAGUGUGUGAUGUCCAUAUUGGUGGUCCUCUCUCCUGGUCAGGUCACUUUUAUUUGUAAGUGACAGAAACCAUGACUCAGAGAGGCUAGACAAGCAAAAGCGUGUAAAGCCUCGUGGCGGAAGCCCAUGGAUCCGGGGCUCGCUGUAUGCGUCUGGGCAGUCUCCAGUUUUCUGGGCUCUGCUAUCCGUGGGGUGGCUCCAUUCUUGGGCAGCACUGCCACGCCCACCCCCUAAACACACCUCACAUCCCAUCCGUCUCGCAGCUCCCCAAAGCAAUUCACUCUUCUCAGCAAAACCAUCAGGCACACCUCAGCUUAUCCCUCUGGCCAGCAGGGACAGUGGUAAUUGUCCAGGCCAGAUUCUACCCUUAGACUAAAGCCUGCGGCUGAACAGGGAGGGGCCGUCUCACGUGCAUGUGCGCGCUAUCACCUGGGACCUCCGUAGCACCAGGGGCUGCGAUGCCGCUGUCCACACUGUGAGGAGCAGGGGUUAGAGGGGAAUGCAGGGAGCCAUUUGCUGAUGAAGGGAAGGGAGACGAAACUCAGGUCUACCCCAUGGGCUGACUACAGGCACCGUCAGAUGUUCAGGCCAGGUAGCGACUGGUGUGUCUAUUCGCCCUGGGCCUGUCUCUGUCACAUCAGUUCCUCCACAGAGGGGGUACCUUCUGGGGGCCUCCAAGCUGGCCUGAUUUGGCCUCAGGGUCUACUGGAGCUCUUACCCCUUCUGUUCUGUGAAGUGUGACCUCAGGCUGUCUUGACUACUGCAGACUCCAUGGGGACUACUGAGUGUUUCUCCAGGAAUGCUGGGUCUGCUGGCCACGCUUUCCAGUGGGGACCAUCAUUUCUCUCCCACUUGCAGUGGCUCACAGGCCUCUGCUUGCCGACCCACAGAAGCCAUGGCCUGUGUGGGGUGGUGGUUGAAGGCAGCAGAGGCCCAGCAGAACUCCUUUCCCCACUCCCCAGCCUGUGCACUGUUGUCAGCUCUUUCCUGGCCCGUGUCCCCUCUGUUCCUCUACCUGGAAACCCAUAGGCUGAGCUCUUGUGAGUCUUAACACAUCAAGUGGAGGAUGGGGCCUGUUCCCUGCUUGGCCUCAAGUUCCAUCCUUGACCAGACCCUUCCAGAUUCCCAGACUCUGCGACUGGAUGAGACCAUGGACUCCAUGGGAGAUGACCCCUUCACGGCAAAGCUGAGCUUUGAGCAGGGUGGCUUGGAGUUGGUGCCCGUGGUGGUGAGCCGGUCAGUGCUGCGCUCCCUGAGCCGACGGGACGUC